AUGCAGUGAUGACUUUAAAAUGAACACAUCAUGCUGACAACACCGUGGAUAACCAUAAACACUGAGCAUA
ensembl:snoRNA SNORD63 Small nucleolar RNA SNORD63